AUGCCAGUAUUCCUUCUGCCACCCCGCAAGCAGCCUGACAACAAACUAUAUUGGAUGUUUGUCACAGGUUUGAAAUUUUUGGUUGCUGGCUUUAAUUUGGGCUAUUGGCUUGUCAAAAACCUUCCUUGUGGGUGGGUGACAAUCCUCCCAUUGGUAACCGACAAGCAAAAGACACCAGGCAACGCCAAUGCACUAAUUGCAAUACUCAGCAGUGAAUCAUCAUCCUGUAAACUAAUACACCACUAA